UACGAAGGGGGCUAGCGUUGCUCGGAAUCACUGGGCGUAAAGCGCACGUAGGCGGCUCUUUAAGUCAGGGGUGAAAUCCUGGAGCUCAACUCCAGAACUGCCCUUGAUACUGAGGAGCUUGAGUCCGGGAGAGGUGAGUGGAACUGCGAGUGUAGAGGUGAAAUUCGUAGAUAUUCGCAAGAACACCAGUGGCGAAGGCGCCUUUCUGGUCGGUUACUGACGCUGAGACGCGAAAGCGUGGGGAGCAAACAGG
rnacentral:rRNA from 1 species